rnacentral:rRNA from 1 species
ACCGACACAGGUAGUCAAGGAGAGAAUCCUGAGGUGCUCGAGUGAAUCAUGGCUAAGGAACUCGGCAAAUUAACCCUGUAACUUCGGGAAAAGGGGUGCCCUCAGCAAUGAGGGUCGCAGAGAAAUGGCCCAGGCGACUGUUUAACAAAAACACAUGGCUAUGCGAAAUCGAAAGAUGAAGUAUAUGGCCUGACACCUGCCCGGUGCUGGAAGGUUAAGGGGGGACGUUAGUCGCAAGACAAAGCGUUGAACUGAAGCCCCAGUAAACGGCGGCCGUAACUAUAACGGUCCUAAGGUAGCGAAAUUCCUUGUCGGGUAAGUUCCGACCUGCACGAAUGGUGUAACGAUCUGGGCGCUGUCUCAGCCAUGAGCUCGGUGAAAUUGUAGUCACGGUGAAGAUGCCGUGUACCCGCAACGGGACGGAAAGACCCCAUGCACCUUUACUAUAGCUUCACAUUGACAUUGGGUAAAUGGUGUGUAGGAUAGGUGGGAGACAUUGAUCCCGGGCCGCUAGGUUCGGGGGAGUCAACGGUGAAAUACCACCCUUUAUUUUCUUGAUGUCUAACCUCUAACAAGGGACAGUGUGUGGUGGGUAGUUUGACUGGGGUGGUCGCCUCCGAAAGUGUAUCGGAGGCUUUCAAAGGUAUGCUCAGUACGCUUGGUAACCGUACGUGGAGUGCAAUAGCAUAAGCAUGCUUGACUGUGAGACCGACGGGUCGAGCGGGGACGAAAGUUGGAUAUAGUGAUCCGGUGGUUCUGUAUGGAAGGGCCAUCGCUCAAAGGAUAAAAGGUACGCUGGAUAACAGGCUGAUCUCCCCCAAGAGCUCACAUCGACGGGGAGGUUUGGCACCUCGAUGUCGGCUCGUCACAUCCUGGGGCUGGAGAAGGUCCCAAGGGUUGGGCUGUUCGCCCAUUAAAGUGGCACGCGAGCUGGGUUCAGAACGUCGUGAGACAGUUCGGUCCCUAUCUGUUGAGGGCGUAGGAAGUUUGAGAGGAUCUGACCUUAGUACGAGAGGACCGGGUUGGACUAACCGCUGGUGUACCAGUUGUGGCGUCAGCUGCACCGCUGGGUAGCUAUGUUGGGACGGGAUAAGCGCUGAAAGCAUCUAAGCGCGAAACCCACCUCAAGAUGAGAUUUCCAUUAAGGGACGUCAGAGAUUAUGACGUUGAUAGGCUGCAGGUGUAAAGUCAGUAAUGGCAAAGCUGAGCAGUACUAAUAACUCAAAAAG